ensembl:lncRNA
CCCUGCUAUGGAAUUUGCUGUGCUUUUUAGAGGAUAAUCAUUAAUGGGUUUUCAUAGCAACAGAUCUCCCAAACUGCCCCAGUCCCUCUCCAAACAGUGCUGUCAAGCCUCUCAAGCAGUACACAUUCCUCGGUUUGAUAUUAGAGCCAAUAUCCUUAUAGCACAGGUGUCUAAGAAUGCACACGGACUUUGAAUGGCACUAAAGACUUAGGAGCAGACCCAAGAACACGAGAGACAGAUAUGGUUGAGGGGCAACAUUUUCCAGCUGCUUUUCAGCCCGUGUGGCCCAUAGCGAGUUAAACCUCUGAAUCUCUACUGUGCUGCACCACUCCAUGUCUGCCUGUCCUUCAGGUCAAAGGCUUUUGUCCUGCUGUGGGAGGAGGCUAAACACUGCGGGCAGUACUGGCAGUUGCAGGUGCGAUUCUUCGCUAAACAACAGAUACAGCGUGGCAAGUGUUGAUAGAUAUUAACAUCAGUGCAGGUGUAGAACUUACACCAUAUGCAGAACCAGCACUUUCUUGCAGUCCCUGGGCUGAUGGGGAAACCCCUCUGUCUCAAAGCAAGCCACAUUAUCCCUAGCUUGCUCUUACAGAUUUCCGUAACCACCAGGAAUGCUGGAUGCCAGGGAGGAUGCAGAACCCAAGGAAAUCAAAAGGAGCCAUGAGUGUACUCUACAGGGCAAUGGCAGUAUUUGCCAGCUAUGGCUGCAAUACGUAUACACGGAAAGGAGAAAGUACAUGAAGUUCUACUUAAGGUUUUCCUAUGAGCUUCUACGGUUUUCUCUGGGAGCAUCACGAAGAGUUAGGCAACUCCAGAUUGAAAGACCCUGGCCUCAAGGGCUGAAGAAUAGAGCUACAUUGUAACAUCCUGAUACUUGCUGACAAUUUUCUCCCUUAAUAAAACGUUGCCGCUGUCCUCUCCAUUUAUAGCAUCAAAGAGAACCCUUCUAACCUCCUAAAUCCUGUUUUAGUGUCGUAGGCUACAGAUUAUUAGCCAAAGCACAACUGCAUUUGAUGUAGUUAUAUCAGGAAGAAACAUAAGUAACAUUUAUAAUGCAGAAAUACUUAAAAAAAUUUAUUAAAAUUUAUUAAAAUAUGUUUAAAAUUAAAAUUUAAAGCAUUUAAACUUCUGUGUGAGCUCCGAGGCAGCUCUGUCUUUGUGUAUUACUGAAUACGAAAUGCUGAGAGGAAUUGAUGUGGCGGUCUCCUUUUUCUCUAGUUACCCUCCUGCAGCACAGCGCAGCCCGCUGCCCCUACAGGACAGCCUGCUUCAUGACGUUGUCCCUCAAGAUCUCAUUCCACUGUUAAUUUUUUUGUUGUUGUUGUUAGAAUAAAACACCUUGAAGUCCUGCUCUGACUUACUGCCUUCCUGACUUUGCCCUGCAACUCCGAGUAACACCCUGCGUGUGUACUUCACGUCAAAGUAAACUCGAGUUAAAAACACGCUAUUUGCGAAGUCAUUUAAGGACGGAUGAGAUCGGUGUUGCCCUCGCACUACUUACUGCAAUGUUUCUGACUGCAAAUUGCCCCAGAGCAGCUCUCUGGGCAGCAUGCUUUCUGCCACCUCAGGCGCUGCCGUCACCCCGCAGGCGUAAAGCUGCCGUACGCGCCCGUGAGACACCGUGAGAAAGCUCUCCUUUCUGCCGCUCUCUCAGGGGCUUUGUCUGGGCUUGGAGGCGGCCCGCGAGGAGGCAGCCGGGCUGCCGGGACAAGCG